rnacentral:lncRNA from 1 species
GAGGAGAGAUGGCUCUAGCUAACUAGUGGAGAGAGAGAGAGAUGACCUAGCUAGCUAGAUCUAUAUGUAUGGAAGGGGGAGUGGGGUGUGUGUGGGUUAAAGGGGAGAGGGGUGUGUGUAUGGAGAGAGUUAGAAGAGGCCAUUUAUGGAGGAUAAUUAGGUGGAGGUGCAUUAAUGGGGAGAGAAGAGAGGUAGAAGGAAGAGAGAAGAAGGGAAACAAUGGUGGGGAAGUAACUUAGAGAGAGGAGAGCACAAAGGAGGGGAGAGGGCCAAGGGGAGGAAGGGGGAGAGGGGGGUGUGCGGGUGAAACCUGCCCACAGCCACGCGUACGAGUAGCACUUUUUUCUAAAGCAGCGCUAC